rnacentral:rRNA from 1 species
GGAAUAUUGGACAAUGGCCGGGAGGCUGAUCCAGCCAUGCCGCGUGAUGGAGUAAGGCCCUAUGGGUCGUAAACAUCUUUUCUCGGGGGGCAAUAAGGGCCACGGGCUGGUCCGAUGAGAGUACCCGGGGAAUAAGCAUCGGCUAACUCCGUGCCAGCAGCCGCGGUAAUACGGAGGAUGCGAGCGUUAUCCGGAUUUAUUGGGUUUAAAGGGUGCGUAGGCGGGUGAUUAAGUUGGAGGUGAAAAACCUGGGCUCAACCGAGGUCCUGCCUCCAAUACUGGUUGUCUUGAAUGCGGAUGCCGUGGGAGGAAUGGGCAGUGUAGCGGUGAAAUGCAUAGAUAUUGCCCAGAACACCGAUUGCGAAGGCAUCUCACGAAUCCGCAAUUGACGCUGACGCACGAAAGCGUGGGGAUCGAACA